CAAAGGCCUGGGGAUGCAGCUCCGUGGCAGGAGGGCCUCCUCUGCAGGUGCACAGAUUAAGGCUAUGUCCCCAGGAGAGGCGGCCCUGUAUCUGGUCUGGGGCUGCAUCCUGCUGGGAGCCGUCCAGGGGCUCAGGGCCGUGCGCAGCCGCAGUCCGUUGCUUCUCCCUCCCUGGCUUCCACAGCAGAGGGGUGUCCCGGGCUGGCGGAAAUGAAGCUGCUGUGCACAUCUCUGGAACAUCUCGGGGUUCUUGCUGAGUCGCUCGGUUGCGAAGGCUGGCCUUGAAUUUGCGGUGACCCUCUGCCUUAGCCUCCCGUGUAUCUCAGUGACAGUUCACCUCUAGAUGCCUACAGCACAGCCAUAGGUCUGAAACGUUCUGCGCAUUUACUUUGGUGACAAAGUCUCAAGUAUGGUUAAUGCUCUGUACUGUGCUGCCUGCGUCUGACUUGGACUAGAGAAUACCGAUGCAAUGAGGCCCGAGUGGAGGAUCAUCAUC
ensembl:lncRNA